UCACAGACAAUCGUUGCACUUUGUCUGUCUGUUCGUUUACCUUUUGCAUUAUGCCUGCUGCCAUACUCUUGCAUCUUUGGCUCUUUGCCUUUUCCAUUUCAUGUUAUAUUGACACAAUAUGGAUAAGAUCUGUGCAAGAGACAGGGUUUGGUGGGUGUUUUUUUUCCUGAAUUCCAUUUGCUUUGUGUGCACAUCUCGCAAUCUUUUUGUAACAAUGGUUCUGAUUGGUUGAUCAAUGUCUGCAUUUGUGCUGCUGAUGUCUAUAUCCAUUUCAUUUGGACAUAACUUCCCCCACAAAUAUUGUAUUCGAGUUUUGAGCCACUACCAUGAACUGCUGCAGUCCAUUAUGCUCUAAUGAGCUGCCCCUAGCAUGUUCUUGUAUCGAAGUCCAGAGUGGCUGAUUGCGCCAAUCAUUGAUACAAUUAUGCUCCGGCCUAGUUCAGGGUCUACCGGCCUGGCUUCAGAUUUGGUGCGCAACAAUUCAUGUGUAAGUUUGUGGUUAGGUUUUUCUGGGACAGGCAUAAAGUUGUUAUACUGAGCCUUCUGGUAUUAUGUUCUUCCUGGCUGCUUCUACUUGACCACUUAAGUACUGAUCAAAGUUGCAGUUGAUCUGCUAAAAGGUGACAGCACUUCGCCUUGGAUCCCUUAUUAAACUUUACCUCAGGAUCCGAACACCCUAAAUCAAGUUACAAAUGCUGGGGUGGAGACCAGAUGUCCAGCUCAGAUGGCAACUUUUGCAGCAGGAGUGAAGGACCAACUGGACUUGCAUCGUGGGAUACAGCAGGUUUACUGUCAAACUGUCAAUGAAGCUCCGGGGUCCGGGUGGCAGGCCGGGGAGAGGACAUCACUAGAGCUGGCAUGGAUGGACGGCUCUUUUCCUUCCCUACCCCACCACCAUCCCUUCCUCUCCAGCUUUUCUCGUGGUGGUUGAGCAGCUGCCGCUUGUUUAAGCCCCUGCUGUUUGCUUGGCUGCCGUUUGGUGCCGAUCACUGCUGUGGCGAGUAAUGGGCAAAAGAAUCUUGUAGCUUGUUCGUGUUGUUUUACUACUGGCGACAAGGAAAACGUCACAAA